CCCAUUCGCAGGACAGCUCUUACCUGCCGGGCCGCCGCCCCAGCCAACAGCUCAGCCGGGUGCUCCUUCCUGGGCUCCACGCCCGGAGCUGCUUCCUGACGGUGCAGCCGCAAGGCAUCGCAGGGGCCCCGCGCUACUGCCCUGCUCCCUCAAAGUCCCAGGUCCCCUCCCCUGGUGCUGAUCAUUAACCAGGAGGCCGUAUAAGGAGCUAGCGGCCCUGGCGAGAGGGAAGGACGCAACGCUGCCACCAUGGACAGUAGCACCUGGAGCCCCAAGACCACCGCGGUCACCCGGCCUGUUGAGACCCACGAGCUCAUUCGCAAUGCAGCCGAUAUCUCCAUCAUCGUUAUCUACUUCGUGGUAGUGAUGGCCGUCGGACUGUGGCUAUGUUUUCCACCAAUCGUGGGACUGUUGGAGGCUUCUUCCUGGCAGGCCGAAGUAUGGUGUGGUGGCCGGUAAGUU
rnacentral:lncRNA from 1 species